rnacentral:rRNA from 1 species
UACGGAGGGAGCUAGCGUUGUUCGGAAUUACUGGGCGUAAAGGGCUCGUAGGCGGCCAACUAAGUCAGACGUGAAAUCCCUCGGCUUAACCGGGGAACUGCGUCUGAUACUGGAUGGCUUGAGGUUGGGAGAGGGAUGCGGAAUUCCAGGUGUAGCGGUGAAAUGCGUAGAUAUCUGGAGGAACACCGGUGGCGAAGGCGGCAUCCUGGACCAAUUCUGACGCUGAGGAGCGAAAGCCAGGGGAGCAAACGGG